rnacentral:rRNA from 1 species
UACGUAGGGUGCGAGCGUUAAUCGGAAUUACUGGGCGUAAAGCGUGCGCAGGCGGUUGGUUAAGUCUGAUGUGAAAGCCCCGAGCUCAACUUGGGAAUGGCAUUGGAAACUGGCUGGCUAGAGUGUGGUAGGGGAGACUGGAAUUCCUGGUGUAGCGGUGAAAUGCGCAGAUAUCAGGAGGAACACCGGUGGCGAAGGCGGGUCUCUGGGCCGAAACUGACGCUGAGGAGCGAAAGCGUGGGGAGCAAACAGG